UAAGAAACACUUAAUGUCAACAAGAUUUUCUGAUUGACAAGAGAAAAGGUUAAACAGGAACUUCAAUUGUGAACAUUGCAGAGAACACACCCAUCAGAAGAUGACCCUCAGAAAUAGGACAAUUGAUGAAUAAAAUGGACAGAGGCAGAACUGAAGGAGAUGCAUGAAAUGAGGAAUAUUUCAAAGAUUGCCUGAGCAUAACCACUGCUACUGGAUAAACAUAUGGCAAUAUAAAACAGCAGGGUCAAUGGAGGUAUCAUACAGUAUAGGCCAUGAGAGACCCUGUAGAAGAAAGUAUUGAACAGAAACAAAAAUAAAACCAUUUUGACAUUUAUUGAAAUAUAGGAUCAAAUUAAAGUCUUACAUGUAAAAUUUGGGCAUGUAUUGACUUUUCUCUAGCUCUAAGACUUAUAACAGUGAUGAUUUAAUUUAAUAUCUUUAUCCCGAUUUGUCGAAAAGAUUUGGACAUAGUGCAUCAAUUAUUUUAAAGUUUUGAUACAACGAAUUCAUUCAUUGUACUUGUAACUGAGUUUUCUGGUGCGACACUGUUUUAUCGGCUUCAAAACUAAGUUUGUGAUUUCCAAACCAGAUUAAUGAGAUCAUUUAAUAUCUUUUAACAUCGGUGACUAUUUAAUCCAUUCUUUUACAUCUCAGAAGUAUAUUAUUAUUACAGGGGAAAUAUGCAUUGUACAUGUAUCUGUAAUAAACAGGAUUAUAGAAAUUUUCCAUAUAAUACAACACAAUCUUGGCAACUGAAGGCAAAUAUUUUAUCA